CCUGAAGGAAUGAGGGUUUUCCCCGACC
rnacentral:rasiRNA from 1 species